CUCCACACUAGGUCUCUUUAGUUCCUGGUCUCUCUUGAGUUCCUGCUCUCUUUGUUCCAGCAACAAUCCUGUACAAGUUCAAUCCAGUACAGCUAGGCCAAUGCCUACAAGUCUGAAGCCACAUCUAAUCUCAUUUCUGGAGGACUGGAAGAGUAGCCUGCUUCAAAAUACAGAUUACAUGCUCCAGUAUGAAACUGUAGAGUGUGAGAAUGACCUGCACUGGGCGACUCCAUGAACCGGCAGCCUCAGAAAAUUCAAGACAGAACAAAACUUGUUAAAGGAUAAUCUGUCCCCUAUCAUCUUUCCAACAACUCAGGAGUUGGCAGCAGAGAAAGCAAGUAGAAAUUCCAAUUUGCACAAAAGUAAAUUCUUACUUUAAGCGAUGACUGCAAACGUGGGCCGAGAAUCUGAUGUGUCCAGCAAAUGCUUGAAUUCUAAUAUACCAUAUUCUUUUAUCUGACAACACCAAGGACAGGAGAAAGGUCUAAUGAAAAAUGAAAAAGUUGCCUGUUGUUGAUGACAAUGAAGAAUUAUAAAUACUGAUACACACUAUACACACUGUAGACUGUGAAUUCGUACAGAAAAUAAGACGUAGACUGAAAUGUAUUCUAAAAUGUGAUGAAGUAAAGUAAAUUUGUGAGUGUAUAAGACAUGUAUUAAAGAGAG